ACUUUUAAAGGAUAAUAGUAAUCCACUGAUUUUAGAUGUCAAAACUCUUGGUGCAAAUCCAAGUAAAAGUAA
rnacentral:tRNA from 1 species